rnacentral:rRNA from 1 species
AUUGAACGCUGGCGGCAUGCCUUACACAUGCAAGUCGAACGGCAGCACGGGUGCUUGCACCUGGUGGCGAGUGGCGAACGGGUGAGUAAUACAUCGGAACGUACCUUAUCGUGGGGGAUAACGCAGCGAAAGCUGUGCUAAUACCGCAUACGCCCUGAGGGGGAAAGCGGGGGAUCGCAAGACCUCGCGCGAUUAGAGCGGCCGACGCCUGAUUAGGUAGUUGGUGGGGUAAAAGCCCACCAAGGCGACGAUCAGUAGCUGGUCUGAGAGGACGAUCAGCCACAGUGGGACUGAGACACGGCCCAGACUCCUACGGGAGGCAGCAGUGGGGAAUUUUGGACAAUGGGGGCAACCCUGAUCCAGCAAUGCCGCGUGAGUGAAGAAGGCCUUCGGGUUGUAAAGCUCUUUUGUCAGGGAAGAAACACCGGCUCUAACACAGUCCGGGAAUGACGGUACCUGAAGAAUAAGCACCGGCUAACUACGUGCCAGCCGCCGCCGUAA